CGCGUACAAGUUCCCGACCGGUCGCUUCGCAAAACGGAUUCUAAUUAAAAUUUAGUGUUUUAAAGCAAGUGUUACGUGUUCUUGUGAGUGUUUAUUGUGUGCAAAAAUCGCGCCGAGAUGUCCGACAACAAAGGAGAGAACGCCACAUCGGAAUCACCGAAGGGCAAACCGGGCAGACGAAACAGAGCUUUACAAAGAAUGAAAGAAGAGGGUGAAGCACUAAUUAAGUCUCUAGGUGGAACCC